AUGUUCUGCUCGGGAUCCCAUCAGAGCGUGGCCCAGAGGAGCUGGUGCUGCUGCCAACCCUCAGCGGUGCCACAGCAGCCAGGCACCAAGAGACAGCGUGGCACUAUGAGCAUAUCCCAGCCCUCAGCCAUGCUGAGCAUGCAUGGAAAUAGCAGUGCUGCAUCUCCUGCUAACCCAGCGGGACAACAAGGGCUGCUUCACGGGGAGGUGACACAGAGGUGGCUGCAGAUGAGGCAGCUCGAGGAGAGAAGCCACCUGCCGAGGCCACCAGCUGUUCCUGUCCCAGAUCUGAGCCAAACUGUGGGUCCCAGGGAUGCAGCUAUUUCUGUAUUACAGAGAAGUUUUAGGAGAAGAAUCCAUUAGGGGCUCAUUUGCAGCCAUGCCCUUAGGCAGACGCAAACCUCGCUUCACUGAGAUGAUAGACUAAUCCAUCAACCUACUUCACCGCUGGCCUGUUCUGUCUGGAAACGACAUUACUGCGCACAAACACCUCACAACAGCCUGCUCCUGUCUGCUCACUGUGCAGCCUGAAGAUGCUCGAGCACUCUCGGGCCCCAGCGAAAAGCUGCACAGCUCCGUGCCCACGUGCCCCAUUGCUGUGCUAAAAGGAGAGAGGUUUCUCCAUGCGUUGAUCUGCAAACCUGAAUAUUUGGGGGAUGGAGUUUGAGCGUUGCUGGGACAAGGGAAAAAACCCAGCUGUGCCUAACCCUGGGCCUGGGACUUGUCUUCCUGUGAGGAACCAGCAACAAAGUCAGAUCCAGGCUGAAUUUCCUUCCAGCUCCCAUUUUGAUCGAUCUCUAAUCUCGUAGCGGAGACCAUUUGUGAUAAGGGAUGAGAAGAGCUUCCUGGAUCAGAUCACGAGUGCCUCCUGCACAGCACCAGGGCACGCACACGGCCAUAAACCCUUCCUGAUCCUGACAGCCUGCAGCUCGGGGCCUUCCAGAGCCAGAUGCACCUGGACAGCAGUCGUAUUUAACAGCCCUUGAUGGCUCUUUUCUGUACAUAUUUGUCUAAUGACUUUUUGAACCCUUUUCUGCCUUUGGUCUCCACAACGCACCCCGGAGUGAGCUGCAUGAUUGAAUUAGGCAUUGAAAGCUCUUCCUCCAUGAGGGGGGAGAGAGCGUUAUCUUGAAUUUCAUCCGCUUUUGGCAUCGGUCUGAACUCAAAUCUUCCUUGAAUCUCUGCAGGGAAGUGCAAGUCAUUCCUGGCCAAAGACCCAUGGCUGGCAGGGGUAGGGUGAGAUCAGAUCCAUGAAGGAGCUAUUGGGUCCCCAUGGGUCCCUGGAGACUCCCUA
rnacentral:lncRNA from 1 species